rnacentral:rRNA from 1 species
AGAGUUGGAUCAUCGGGCUCAGGACGAACGCUGGCGGCGUGCUUAACACAUGCAAGUCGAACGAUGAAGCCCUUCGGGGUGGAUUAGUGGCGAACGGGUGAGUAACACGUGGGCAAUCUGCCCUGCACUCUGGGACAAGCCCUGGAAACGGGGUCUAAUACCGGAUAUGUCCAUCGGCCGCAUGGUCUGGUGGUGGAAAGCUCCGGCGGUGCAGGAUGAGCCCGCGGCCUAUCAGCUUGUUGGUGGGGUGAUAGCCUACCAAGGCGACGACGGGUAGCCGGCCUGAGAGGGCGACCGGCCACACUGGGACUGAGACACGGCCCAGACUCCUACGGGAGGCAGCAGUGGGGAAUAUUGCACAAUGGGCGGAAGCCUGAUGCAGCGACGCCGCGUGAGGGAUGACGGCCUUCGGGUUGUAAACCUCUUUCAGCAGGGAAGAAGCGCAAGUGACGGUACCUGCGGAAGAAGCACCGGCUAACUACGUGCCAGCAGCCGCGGUAAUACGUAGGGUGCGAGCGUUGUCCGGAAUUAUUGGGCGUAAAGAGCUCGUAGGCGGCUUGUCGCGUCGGAUGUGAAAGCCCGGGGCUUAACCCGGGUCUGCAUUCGAUACGGGCAGGUAGAGUUCGGUAGGGAGAUCGGAAUUCCUGGUGUA